UUCGACUUGUUUUCUGCACAUACUGCGAAGACUCAAAGCGCGUUUAGAAAACAAGUCUUUACCAGUUAAGAUAUAAAACAAAUAAGCAUUAAUUGAGAAAAUGGAAGAAAUAGGUAUUGUAAUACCUAUGUUAAUGUUCUUCAUUGAAAAUAGUCAACGAUAAAGAUUUCGGAAGAGGAUAGAUGUAGACCAAGGAGAUUUCAGUAUUUAUAAUUCCGAGGACGAAAUCUUUAUAAGUGGGUAAGAAUGUGAUAACCCGAACUUUCAGAAACUAUAACAAUAAGAAUUUAAUAUAUAUAUAUAUAUAUAUAUAUAUAUAUAUAUAUNNNNNNNNNNNNNNNNNNNNNNNNNNNNNNNNNNNNNNNNNNNNNNNNNNNNNNNNNNNNNNNNNNNNNNNNNNNNNNNNNNNNNNNNNNNNNNNNNNNNGUGCUAUAUAUUUAUGUGAUUUAUGAGGUAGAUUAAAAUGUAUAUAUAAAUAUGAAAUAUAUUGUUAAGUUGAUAUAAUGCAUAAAUAUUUAAAUGCAUAGCAUAAGAAGCAUGUUGCAUUAUAAAAUGGAUAUGAAAUAUUUGAGGCAGGUACAUUAUGAAAUGUAUGUAUCAUGAAUGAAUUAUCAAACAUGUAUGCUAUGUGAAAAAUGAAAUGUGUAAAUUAUUGGACUUGCUCGGUCGUCAUGCUCAAACAUGCAAAUAACUUAUUUGCAAAUCAAAAGAAGAAUCGUCAGACGAAUAUAGCUGCGAAGUCUAAGCGCGUUUAGAAAACAAGUGUUUACUGUUUUCUUUAGUUACAUAUGUAGUAAGUCGGAACGACUUAUUGUAUCCAAUGAGCUAAGUUGUAAUAAAACAAUGUGUGGAUGCACACAACAGAUCUUCGUUUUUGGUAAUCUAAGGUGUCAUUAUUUUGAACCAAUUAAGGACACUAAGCAUGAGAAAGCUAAACUUGGUCUAAUAGUGGUAGAGAGAGACUAAGGAUCAUAUAUCCAAUUUUCAACAAUCACAAUUCUCAAACUCCUCUUCCAUCCGUCUCUUCCAAGUCCAAUUUUCAGUUCAAGUUCCAUAUCUCCAUCUCUAAUUAUUUAAGUUUCUAUAUAUUUCUCUACUACCAAAACAUGAGUAUUCAUCAAAUUCUCUAAAGAUUGAAGUUGGUAACUGAAAUUGAAGAAAAAUUGGAGUAAGGUACAGUCCAAAAGAAGAAUUUAACUCGGCUAAUUUAAAGUUGGAGCAAGGAUUUGAUCAUAACAUCAAGUUACAAAGAGGUAUAUAAGUUAGUUAUAUUUGCUAUGUUCAUGAAUUGAGAUAGAGAAUAGUUGAUUGCUGCUAUAUAUUAAUGUGUUUGGUUGUUAAACCUUUGUAUGGCAGAGGUUUUGGGUUUGGUUUAACGACCACUUAGUCUAUUACAUUGAAAAUCGUUAAAAUGUCGAUAUCGCGUUAUCGAUAUAUAUAUAUGAUGAGAAGGUGAUUCUUUUCUCAUAUUUAUAUUUGAUAAUUAGAGAAUAUUAAGAUUAGGUUUGAGUUCUUGAAAAUCAUACUUAUGGUAAGUUGUGACUCAUAAUCAUAUGGUAUGCUUUGAGCCUCUCAGCGUAUGGAUAAUCCUUGAUUUGUUCUUGGACAAGUUCCUAAACUCAUAUUGUUGUGGCAAGUUCCUGAACUUAUAACUUAUAUUAAGUUUUUUGGACUAUACUGAUUCAGUGUAGUAAGAAUUAAUGGUGCUAGAAAUAGAUAGAAUUGCUAAAUAGUGGGCCAAUAGAGAAAGUUGAAGUUGAUGAAGGAGAAAAGGAUAUUCAAAAUCUUAUAGUUAUGCUAGAAUUCAAAAUUUAUUGAUGUCGUGCUGAUAUUUCCAAAAAUUUUUCGAAAAAUAUUUGAUCAAAUUAUUGAACCAACGAGUUUUAAAAAAUCCUAUUAUUCAUAUGUCUAUGCUAAUUGUUUCGGGUAGACAAAAAUGAUUUGAGAUUAUGAAAAUCUAUUUUAUACAAUCAUCUACAUCAUUGGACAUGGUGUAGAAAUGAUAAAUAAUGGAGUCAUCAAUACAGUCUAACCUAAUGUGGAUGUGAUCAUAGGAUUGUCAACCCAUGUUGUAGUAUGACAAAGUCAUAAAAUGAUUUUCAAUAUUUUGAACUGUUUUAAAGAAAAGUCAAUGCCAGUUGAAUUGGCCAGACAAAUGUUUCGAUCUUGAUGUACAAAUUGUUGAUAUAAGCCUAAGCUAUUUGAUUCAGCUAGAAGAUUAUUUAAAGAUGUUUAUGAGAUUCAAGCGUUCUUUAUGGAUUUAUGACAAGCCAAUUUGUUUUGGUGUGGAAUCUUGUACUAAUUCUGAAGUGACCUACCCUAUAAUGGGUGACAUGUUAUCGGAGACUAGUUAUGAACUACGCUGAUGCGUUAAUACGUUGUGCACGACGUAAAGUACAAAAGGCUAAUCACCUAGCGUACGAUAAGAUUUGUCCAUAGUCUUAUGACUCUUAAAGGAUACAGUAGAAAUACUUGCUAACCUAGGACAAGGUUCCAAGUCUCUACGACUCCUCAGCAUAAGGCUGAAUAACACUUUUGUCCCCUCCAAGUUGCCACCCACUUUCAAAGUCGUCCUUAAAAUUCAAUUUUCGUCAGUUAGAUCCUUAAAGUGACAUUUUGUUGGCGUUUCCAUUCCUUCAGCCCAAUUUAACCUCAACCAGACCUAUUUUGACCAAACCCGACCCAGUUUAAACCAACCCAAAUUUUUAAUGUUUUAAAAUAUAAUAUUAUUUUAAAAAUAAGUUUAAAAUAAUAAUUAUAUUUAACAUUUUAAAAAAUUAUAUUUAAUAUUUUAAAAUAAAUUAUUAUUUUUAAAAUAAUAAUUAUAUUUAAUAUUUUAAAAUAAUAUAUUUUUUACAAUAAUUUCAAAAUAAUAAUUAUAUUUAAUAUUUUAAAAUGAUAUUUCUUUUUUAUAUUUAAAAAAAUAUUUUUAAAAAAAAGCUAUAAAGAUAAUUAUUAUUCUAAGAAAAAAAUAUUAAAAACUUUAUUUUUUUCAAAAAUGAGUAAAGUUUCAUAAAAUAUAGAUUAAAUCUUAAUUUUUAGAAAAAAAGUUUAGAAAUAAUUAAGAUUGAAUCCCUAUAGUUAUUAAUUAUUAAAAAAAUUCUAAAUUUUUCUCUUGAAAAAAAAUAAUUAUUUAAAAAAAUAUUUAUUUAUUUAUUUAAAAAAUAUCAAAUCAAUUUUUUAUUUAUCUUUUAUUGUUUUUUGUAUUUUAAUUUCUAUAUUUUUAUUUUUUGUUUUUAAAAAUUCUAAUAUUAAGAAUACAUAUAAUAAUGGUAAAGAUAUUAACUAUUUUUUGAAAAUAAAUUUUUACAUAAAAAAUGAAAAAAAUAAUAAAAAUAAUAAUUAUUUUAAAAAAUAUUUUAUUUUAAAAUAUUAAAAAUAAUUAUUUUUAAAUAAUUAUUUUAUUUUAAAAAUAAUAAUUUAUUUUUAAAUUUUAAAUAUAAUUAUUAUUUUAAACUUAUUUUAAAAAUAAUUUAUAUUUUAAAAUAUUAAAAUUUUGGGUUGGGUCAAACUAGGUCGGGUUGGGUCAAAAUGGGUCGGAUUAAGGUCAAAUUGGGCUGAAGGAACGGAAAUGCCGAUAAAAUGCCACUUUAAGGACCUAAUUGACAAAACUUGAACUUUAGGGAUGACUUUGAAAGUGGGUGGCAACUUGGUGGGACAGAAGUGUCAUUCAGCCUCAGCAUAAUAUCAAAAAUGAAUAUUUUUAAUUCAUACAACUUCACAAUUAUUGAACAAUUGUUGAAAAAUUCUAGGAGGGAAGGAUGAGUUUCCCUAGAAGUAGUCGUAGAAACGACAAUUCUAAAUGUAUUCUUGAAGAAAGAAAGUGUAGAGAUUAGUUUGAAGAAAUGAAAUUAUUCGAGAAGAAAAUACUUAAAAGACAAUGAUUCUAGAAGGAUCCUUGGAAGAGAAAAUUGGUUAUAGAACCUAACGAAUAAAUAAAGCUUAAUAUAAAAAUCUAGUUCAAUGAAUCAAAUAAAUGAAGAUUAGUGAGUUGAAAUUUUGAGGAAGAAAUUCUUAAAAGAAGGAGUGAGUGUGACAUCCCUGAUGUUUACGUGAUUAAUAACUAUUGCGAUUAAACAGUUAUGGCAACUGUGGCAUACGGUGAUCCGUAGAAAAGAAUGUUGAUGGGUUAAAGAAAGUAUAAUACUCGAAAUAUAGUUGAGUCCAAAUAAAGGUUAUGAAAUACAAUCUAUAAGAACUAGUCAAUGGAAUGAAUGUGAUAGGUAAUAUAAAACUUAUAUUAAAGCAAUAUGUUGAAAUGAUUCAAGCUAUCAACAUUUCGAAAGAGGAUAGACGGAAACCGAGUAAGGAUCUUCGGUGUUUGUGAUUCUGAGAACGGAAUUCUUAUAAGAGGGGAAGAAUGUGAGUACCCAAAUUUCCAGAAAAUAUUAAAAUAAAAAUUUAAUAUAUAUAAUUCUUAUUGUGAGAUGUAAUAAGUUCGAAUGUAUAUAUAUAUACAUAUAUACAUAUAUAUAUAUAUAUGUGUGUGUGUGUGUGUUUGUGUGUGUGAUAUAUAUUUAUGUAAAUUAUGUGGUGAAUUUAAUGUGUAAGCAUGAAAUAUAUACACAUUUGUGGAAUAAAAUAGUUAAUAUUUAAUUAAACUAUUAAAUUUAUUAACUUCAAUUAAUUACAAAUUGUAACAUGAAAGUGAAGAAAGUAAUUGAUGAAUAUGAAUAUUAAAGCCUUGUAUGACAAUAGAUUUAUUAUGAAUUAAACUUCAUAAGCAAGGUAAUUAAUUCAUUUAUUUAAAAUUAGUGAAUUAAUGUAUGUGUUUUAUUUUAAUAAAAAUGAGUUAAUUAAACUCGUUAUUUUAAUAUAUUACAAACAAAUGUAAUAUAUUUAUGUAAUGGAUUAGUAUAUUAUAUUAUGUCAAACGAAUAUAAAUUUAAUAUGAAAUGAGGUUCCAAUGUAAAGGAAUAUUGAUGCCAAGAUUAAUAAAUAAAAUUAAUAUUUAAUUUAUGAUGAAAUGCAUAAGUUCAAUAAAUUUUCUCGAAACAAUUUAUGGGAGGAAGAAACAAAUUUGAUUAUACUAUAUUAAUUGUAUAAUUUAAAUAAUUUAUUAUUAAAUAUAACGUUCGUUAUGUAAAAAAUGUCCAACUAAUUAUGGAAUCGGUCCAUAAUUAGUGGGAUAAUUUUAUAAAUAGUUAUAAAAGUAUAACAUCCAAUUUUGGUUAAUAUUGGAAAUACAUGAAAUUAAGAAUACAUAAUUGUUAUUAAAUAUAACGUUCGUUAUGUAAAAAAUGUCUAACUAAUUAUGGAAUCAGUCCAUAAUUAGUGGGAUAAUUUUAUAAAUAGUUAUAAAAGUAUAACAUCCAAUUUUGGUUAAUAUUGGAAUUACAUGAAAUUAAGAAUACAUAAAUUAAUGUUGGGUAUUGGAAGAAAUUUAUACAGACAUGUAAUUGUAAUACCAUGGUAGGUAUGUAUUAGAUAUUAUAUAUGAGUGGUGACUCAUUACUGAUAAAGCAUGAGCUAGAGUCAUUUGGGUCUAAGUAGGUGGUAGCUUUUAUCAAGCCUAAUGAGAGUAUGUGGUGUUUAAUUGCAUCUUAAUGUAUAUGAAGAGUUCACCUCUUAAUGCAUCUUAAUAACUCACAUCUUUGUAUUAAGAGGUCCUCUAAAUAGUUAAGAUACAAAUAUAAGUCUAAACUAUUCAGAGGAUCUCUUAAUAUAAAGAUGUGGGUUGUUAAUAUGUAUUAAAAGGUAAACUGUUAAGAUACAUUAAGAUGCAAACACCACCAAGCAAUACUAAACCAUUAUCAGUCCUUAGCCUAGCAAUGCUCAACAUUCUCAUUCAUCUCUACUCGUUCCAUCUCUCUUCCUCUCUAAAUUACCCAAGUUCCAUAUCACUCUCCAAUUGCUUAAGCUUUCACUCUCCCAAACUAUCAAGAAUUCAAGCAUUUAGUAAAUUAGUGCUAAGAACUCCACCAAAUUCUCAUAGAAUUGAGGUUGCUAACUGAAUUGGAAGAAGAAUUGGAGCAACAUAUUCAACCAAAUCAAGUUUAAAGCAAGGAUUUAGCAGAAUCACUAAGCAAGUAAGGUAAAAUAACAUCUAUUUAUGAAAGUUUAUGGAAAUUAGAGUUUUAAUAUCUUAUAAAUGCUAAAUUAUUGUGUUUGGAUUCUGAAAAUUGAUGUGUUAAAGAUGACUGAUGAACAUUGGAGUUAUAAAGAUGAGGAAUUGUGAAAAUUCUUGGUUAAACCAUACCUAAAUGCCUAUGGGAAUCUAGAAAAUAAACUAUGCCCUUGUGUUGUUUGAUAAAAUGUCUCAUAGAGGCUAAAGUCUUUAAAAACCAAGAACUGAUCAAAGCUUGGGGCUAAAUUGUAUGUAUAUAUGAAUUAUAAAAGGACUCUAAUGAUUCAUGAGUAUCAAAUCAAGUCCAAAGUGAGUUUGGCAAAAAAUUUAUACAAAUGAGUUCAAUGAAAAUGUGAAAAAUUGAGAACUUUGAGCCUUUGUAAGUAUGCCAUAAAGGAACUCUUUUUGGCUAUGUUAUAUUUUUAUAAAAUACUAUGUAGUAACAUCUAGAAUAUAUAUUCAAAUUUGAGAGCAAUCGAGUGUAUGAAUGGCAAGAUAUGAAAUUUCAAAGUUGGCAUGAAAUUCAUCUCUACUGCAGUUGGGUAGUAGAGUGAAAAUCGUAGAGUGAAAGUAGUAGAGUAAAAAUCGUAGAGUGAAAAUAGUAGAGUAAUAAUCGUAGAGUAAAAAUCGUAGAAUGAAGAUAGUAGAGUGAAGGUGGAUAAACACCCUAGUUUGGGCCCAGUUUUGGUCAACUUGCAUAACUGAAUUCAAGAAACCAAAACCAUAGAAAAAUAUUAUGAUAAAUGAUCUAAAUAGUUGCACAAACUUGAGAUCAAAUAGGUUAACCCAAAAAUUCAUCAAAGUAGCUUAAAAAUUCACUUCAGCUGCUAUCGUUGGAUAGCAGAGUGAAAAUGUUGAACACCCAUUUUAAGGCACUAUUUUGAGAAGUCUUAAGAGAUUGUUUUAAUUGACUAACUAUGGAAUAAAAUACUAUAAUAUAUGGUAUAAAAGCUUGUUCAAACUUGAAAGUCAAAAGCUUAAUGAAAAAAAAAUCCUAAAAAUCUCCAAAAGGGCCUAGAAAUUCACUUUCAAUUGCUGCACUGUAGUAGUUGCAGCAGUUGCAACAGGGAAAAUUGAGUCUCUGAUUUGAAGGCUCUUAUUUGAUGUUUUCAAGCAACUAAAUGAUAGAUUAAAUAUCUUGUAGUAUGGUCUAGAACCCUGUCCAAGUUGAAAAGCCAUUAGAUCAAUGUGAAAAAAUAUAAAAAUCCCCAAAGUACCCUAAAAAUCAUAUUUUCUACACUUUUGAGCUGUCAUGGCUAAUGGGGUUUGACCUUGAAAAAAGACAUGGCUUGACUUAUGUUGCUAUUUAUAGUAUAAUAUAAAAUGUUCAAGAAAUCAUGUCAUGCUAUGAUUAAAUCAAAAUAUGUGAAUGUGAGGAAGUUUAUGAACUAAGUUCUAAAUGAAAUGGAUUAUGAUAUAUACACAUUAACCUACAUAAGGUUUGAACAUCAAACAUGGUAUGAAUUAAGAUUAGGACACUAAUUUAAAUGAAAUUGAAGUAUCACAUUAGACUAUUGAAUAUAUUGUAACUUGAAUUAUAAUAUAUAGGUUAUACGGUGAAGGAAAACGAAUGGAUUUUGUUAGACGAUGGAAGAAGUGAUAUGAUGGACAUUUGAUUUGCUUGAACAAGACAAGUUCUUACAGUAAUUUGUAAGAUUGUUGCUAUGUGAAAAUAUGUGAUAAUGUAUGUUAACCAUGAGUAUGUGGUAGUCAGUGAAAUUUGUUGUUCUUGACAUGUGAAUGUUAUGUGAUUAUAAUUGUUAUUGUUAAGUUUAUAUGAUGCAUAUAUAUCUAAAUGCAUAAGAAACAUGUUGCAUUAUAAAAUGCAUAACAUGAAAUAUCUGAGGCAGGUACAUCAUGAAAUGUAUGUAGCAUAAAUAAAUUAUCAAACAUGUAUGCUAUGUCGAGAAUGAAAUGUGUAAACUUUUGGACUUGUUGGGCCGUCGUGCUCAAACUUGCAAAUAACUUAUUUGCAGAUUAAAAGAAGAAUCGUCAGACGAAUAUAGCUGCGAAGACUCAAAGCGCGUUUAGAAAACAAGUGUUUACUGUUUUUUUUAGUUACAUAUGUAGUAAGUCGGAACGACUUAUUGUAUCCAAUGAGCUAAGUUGUAAUAAAAUAAUGUGUGGAUGCACACAACAGAUCUUCGUUUUUGGUAAUUUGAGUUGUAAAUUCUUCAUUAAUUGUUACAAAUAUAGUUAGAUAAUGGAUAUGUUAUUAGAAAUAACAUAUAUUGCGAUUACAAGUACCAACUAGAGAACUAGUUACUACAUGAAGCACAUAGUUGAUGGAUGACGAUAAAAAAGGUUAGCAGAAGAAAUACAUAUUAAAAGUUGAACCUUACUUUCACAUAUGAUCUUGAAUAUAUGUAUAGAUGCUAAAGGUUGCGAUUUCGGGGCGAAGAAUGUUGAAAAAGAUUUUUGUUGAAGGUAUAUCCUUUAUUGAAUUAUGAGAAAAGUUUAAAUAAAUGAGUUUUAAUAUCUAUAUUGAUAUUGGGUUUUGUGAGAAGUUUGAAAAUCUUUACAUUCAUUAUAAUAUUAAUUAAUGAUAUAGAGUUAGAAUAUGAUAUUAUUAACGCACAAAAUCGGUAAUGAGAAAGUCAAAAUCUAUACGUCCGAUUGGUACCAAAUUUUAAUAUAUUAUAAAUGGUACUACAUACUAUUUUAUAAAAAUAUAUCCCAGCCAAAAAGAGCAUUUUAAGUUGUGUUUGCAAGGCCUUGAAACUUCUUGUCACAACAGUUUUUAGUCGAACCCAACUUGAUUCAAUCUUCAUAAAUUCAUUUUUAAACCCACUUUAACUCACCUAAUCAGCUUGGUUUACAUUAUAUUACAUAUACAUAAGACACCUUACCAACAACAUUGGCAAAUUUUCAAUUUUAAGCAUAAUAGCCUCUUAGAGGCAUUUUAUCAAACAUGCCAUAUGCAGUUUUUAAAACCAGAUUUCAUAGAGGUUUAUAUAUGAUUCUAGCUAAAAAAAUUCUAUCCUUAUUACUCCAAACUCAUGCAAUACUUCCAUCACACCAAUUCACAACAAUUUCCCCCACAAACACAACAAUAACAAGUAUUAAUUAUCUAAUUUUCCCAUGAAUUCAUCAAGAAAGCAUAACAUACCUUCAAUAGGUAACAACCGAUGCAAUCUAAGUUUGGUGAUGGAAAAAUUGAAAUUUUUCUUACUGCAACAGACUUUGAUUCUCCCCAACUCAGUUUGCAUCCUCCAAUUCCUUAGUGAAUUUGGUUGGUUCCAACUGAAAAGAAUGAGAAUUUUUGGUGAACUUUUGGGAGUUAUGGAAACUUGACAAUAAGGGAUGGAACGGAUGGAAUGGAGUGAGAUGAGAGAGAGCAGAGUAUUUAGUUUAGUAAUCUCUGAGUUCCCUUCUAAAUUCUCAGUUAUCUUAACUUGGCGUAGUAUUUCUUAUGAUAGCAUGAGCAUCCCACAGCUCAUGCUUAUGUUUGGCUUAGUGGAUGUCUAUUACAUAAUACUUUGCCACCUCCUGCUUACUCCUCUAAUGCCCCAGCAUACCAUAAUCUCUUAUUUCUCAG
rnacentral:lncRNA from 1 species